rnacentral:rRNA from 1 species
UACGGAGGGGGCUAGCGUUGUUCGGAAUUACUGGGCGUAAAGCGCGCUUAGGCGGAUCUGCAAGUCGGGGGUGAAAUCCCGGGGCUCAACCCCGGAACUGCCUUUGAUACUGGUAGUCUCGAGUCCGGAAGAGGUGAGUGGAAUUCCGAGUGUAGAGGUGAAAUUCGUAGAUAUUCGGAGGAACACCAGUGGCGAAGGCGGCUCACUGGUCCGGUACUGACGCUGAGGUGCGAAAGCGUGGGGAGCAAACAGG